rnacentral:rRNA from 1 species
GGGGAAUAUUGCACAAUGGGCGGAAGCCUGAUGCAGCAACGCCGUGUGAGUGAAGAAGGUUUUCGGAUCGUAAAGCUCUGUCAUCCGGGACGAUAAUGACGGUACCGGAUGAGGAAGCCACGGCUAACUACGUGCCAGCAGCCGCGGUAAUACGUAGGUGGCGAGCGUUGUCCGGAAUUACUGGGCGUAAAGGGUGCGUAGGCGGAUACUUAAGUGAGAUGUGAAAUACCCGGGCUUAACCCGGGCACUGCAUUUCAAACUGGGUAUCUGGAGUGCAGGAGAGGAGAACGGAAUUCCUAGUGUAGCGGUGAAAUGCGUAGAGAUUAGGAAGAACACCAGUGGCGAAGGCGGUUCUCUGGACUGUAACUGACGCUGAGGCACGAAAGCGUGGGUAGCAAAC